GUCCACGCCCUAAACUAUGUCGAUUAGCCGUUGGGAUCAAUUAAGGUCUUAGUGGCGCAGCUAACGCGAUAAAUCGACCGCCUGGGGAGUACGGCCGCAAGGUUAAAACUCAAAGGAAUUGACGGGGGCCCGCACAAGCGGUGGAGCAUGUGGUUUAAUUCGAUGCAACGCGAAGAACCUUACCAGGCCUUGACAUCUAGCGAACUUUCCAGAGAUGGAUUGGUGCCUUCGGGAACGCUAAGACAGGUGCUGCAUGGCUGUCGU
rnacentral:rRNA from 1 species